rnacentral:rRNA from 1 species
GUAAACCCAAGGUUUCCAGGGGAAGGUUCGUGCGCCCUGGGUUAGUCGGGACCUAAGCUGAGGCCGAAAGGCGUAGGGGAUGGACAACAGGUUGAUAUUCCUGUACUACCGAUAACCGUUUGAGAGAAGGGAUGACACAGUAGGAUAAGCUAAGCACACUGUUGGUUAUGGUUGCCCAUGCAUUGAGACAGUCAAAGUAGGCAAA